UACGGGGGGGGCAAGCGUUGUUCGGAUUUACUGGGCGUAAAGCGCACGUAGGCGGCUCGAUCAGUCAGGGGUGAAAUCCCAGAGCUCAACUCUGGAACUGCCUUUGAUACUGUCGAUCUGGAGUAUGGAAGAGGUGAGUGGAAUUCCGAGUGUAGAGGUGAAAUUCGUAGAUAUUCGGAGGAACACCAGUGGCGAAGGCGGCUCACUGGUCCAUUACUGACGCUGAGGUGCGAAAGCGUGGGGAGCAAACAGG
rnacentral:rRNA from 1 species